rnacentral:lncRNA from 1 species
AGCGUGUAUGCUGUGCUAGCCCGUCUGGUCGAUCAAAACAUUGUUGAAGAAAAAGAAAAAGAAAAUUUUCCACCUCAUUUCCAAAUGAAAUCGUCGAAAAAAACAUUGUUAAUCUUAAUUAUAACCAGUUUUAUGUAAAUUUGAUAGUGGUUGAAUAGCAGAGUCUCGAUGAAUUGCGGUGUGGAGAUGGCCAACAACCUGAACAAAACGUCUGUUACAUUGGCUGCUACAGAUUCAAUCGAUUCCGUCGCCGCUGAUCUUUAUUCGGCUGUGGAUGAAAACAGUAGAUACCAGGAGGUUCGAGACAGGAGAGACCCGGAAGAAUCGGCCGGCGUCGUGACAGUUCACCCGGAAAACAGGCGUAUACAAAGCGCCAUCAAACAACGGCAAUCCUUCAUGCAUCCAAAUUUUCCAACAAAGUGGAUUAUUAACUGUCCGAUACCCUGUUCGCAGACCGAGCAUAAAUGGAUGGGGCAUAUCUUUGAGGCUUAGCUCUGUCUCGAAAAUCACCGGCAGAAGGCCCACCGGAGCAGGAGUGUGAUGAGUGCAUUAUUGGCAUAAUUGGAAGAAAAAAUCACACUAGUUAAUCUAAUUUUUAAAUUUCCGUUACAACAUAAAAUGUGUAAUUGAUUGUAAUACAUUGUCUCCCAUUACAUUUUUAAUAUAAUUUAUACACAAUAAAACA